rnacentral:rRNA from 1 species
CAGGACGAACGCUGGCGGCGUGCCUAAUACAUGCAAGUCGAACGGUCUUUCUAUGGAAGCUUGCUUCCACUGGGAAGAUAGUGGCGAACGGGUGAGUAACACGUGGGUAACCUGCCCAUAAGAGGGGGAUAACAUCCGGAAACGGGUGCUAAUACCGCAUAGUUUUCUUGAUCGCAUGAUCGGGAAAGGAAAGACGGCCUUUGUGCUGUCGCUUAUGGAUGGACCCGCGGCGUAUUAGUUAGUUGGUGAGGUAACGGCUCACCAAGACGAUGAUACGUAGCCGACCUGAGAGGGUGAUCGGCCACAUUGGGACUGAGACACGGCCCAAACUCCUACGGGAGGCAGCAGUAGGGAAUCUUCCGCAAUGGACGAAAGUCUGACGGAGCAACGCCGCGUGAGUGAAAGAAGGUUUUCGGAUCGUAAAACUCUGUUGUCAGAGAAGAACAAGUUGGAGAGUAACUGCUCCAGCCUUGACGGUAUCUGACCAGAAAGCCACGGCUAACUACGUGCCAGCCGCCGC